GGGCGGCUAGCUCAGGGGUAGAGCGCCUCGUUCACACCGAGGAGGUCAGGGGUUCGAAGCCCUUGCCGCCCACCA
rnacentral:tRNA from 2 species